rnacentral:rRNA from 1 species
GAUGAACGCUAGCUACAGGCUUAACACAUGCAAGUCGAGGGGCAUCAGGAAGAAAGCUUGCUUUCUUUGCUGGCGACCGGCGCACGGGUGAGUAACACGUAUCCAACCUGCCCUUUACUCGGGGAUAGCCUUUCGAAAGAAAGAUUAAUACCCGAUGGGAUAAUUAUUCCGCAUGGUUUGAUUAUUAAAGGAUUCCGGUAAAGGAUGGGGAUGCGUUCCAUUAGGUUGUUGGUGAGGUAACGGCUCACCAAGCCUUCGAUGGAUAGGGGUUCUGAGAGGAAGGUCCCCCACAUUGGAACUGAGACACGGUCCAAACUCCUACGGGAGGCAGCAGUGAGGAAUAUUGGUCAAUGGGCGAAAGCCUGAACCAGCCAAGUAGCGUGAAGGAUGACUGCCCUAUGGGUUGUAAACUUCUUUUAUAGGGGAAUAAAAUGAGCCACGUGUGGCUUUUUGUAUGUACCCUAUGAAUAAGGAUCGGCUAACUCCGUGCCAGCAGCCGCGGUAAUACGGAGGAUCCGAGCGUUAUCCGGAUUUAUUGGGUUUAAAGGGAGCGUAGGUGGACAUGUAAGUCAGUUGUGAAAGUUUGCGGCUUAACCGUAAAAUUGCAGUUGAUACUGUGUGUCUUGAGUACAGUAGAGGUGGGCGGAAUUCGUGGUGUAGCGGUGAAAUGCUUAGAUAUCACGAAGAACUCCGAUUGCGAAGGCAGCUCACUGGACUGUUACUGACACUGAGGCUCGAAAGUGUGGGUAUCAAACAGG